AGAGUUUGAUCCUGGCUCAGAGUGAACGCUGGCGGCGUGGAUUAGGCAUGCAAGUCGAGCGAUCUUGUAGCAAUACGAGAUAGCGGCAAAAGGGUUAGUAACACGUGAACAACUUUCCUCAAAAUCGGGGAUAGCACCGUGAAAACGGUGAUAAUACCGGAUGUUACCAGAAAUCGGCAUCGAUUUCUAGUCAAAGGCAGGGACCGUAAGGCCUGCUGUUUUGAGAUGGGUUCGCGUCCUAUCAGCUAGUUGGUGAGGUAAUGGCUCACCAAGGCGUUUGACGGGUAGCGGGUCUGAGAGGACGACCCGCAACACUGGGACUGAGACACUGCCCAGACUCCUACGGGAGGCUGCAGUCGAGAAUCUUUAGCAAUGGACGAAAGUCUGACUAUGCGACGCCGCGUGCAGGAUGAAGGUUUUCGGAUUGUAAACUGCUUUUGUCAGGAAAGAAACCUUAACGGUUAAUACUCGUUAAGCUGACGGUACCUACGA
rnacentral:rRNA from 1 species